CUACGGGAUGCAGCAGUGGGGAAUAUUGCACAAUGGGCGCAAGCCUGAUGCAGCCAUGCCGCGUGUAUGAAGAAGGCCUUCGGGUUGUAAAGUACUUUCAGCGGGAAGGAAGGGAGUAAAGUUAAUACCUUUGCUCAUUGACGUUACCCGCAGAAGAAGCACCGGCUAACUCCGUGCCAGCAGCCGCGGUAAUACGGAGGGUGCAAGCGUUAAUCGGAAUUACUGGGCGUAAAGCGCACGCAGGCGGUUUGUUAAGUCAGAUGUGAAAUCCCCGGGCUCAACCUGGGAACUGCAUCUGAUACUGGCAAGCUUGAGUCUCGUAGAGGGGGGUAGAAUUCCAGGUGUAGCGGUGAAAUGCGUAGAGAUCUGGAGGAAUACCGGUGGCGAAGGCGGCCCCCUGGACGAAGACUGACGCUCAGGUGCGAAAGCGUGGGGAGCAAACAGGAUUAGAUACCCUAGUAGUC
rnacentral:rRNA from 1 species